rnacentral:rRNA from 1 species
UAUUGCGCAAUGGGCGAAAGCCUGACGCAGCGACGCCGCGUGCGGGAUGACGGCCUUCGGGUUGUAAACCGCUGUCGGGGGGGACGAACACAAUGACGGUACCCCCAAAGGAAGCACCGGCUAACUCUGUGCCAGCAGCCGCGGUAAUACAGAGGGUGCGAGCGUUGUCCGGAAUUACUGGGCGUAAAGGGCGCGUAGGCGGUUCGGUAAGUAGGGGGUGAAAUUCCGCGGCUCAACCGCGGGACUGCCUUCUAGACUGCCGGACUUGAGCACGGUAGAGGCAGAUGGAAUUCCCGGUGUAGCGGUGGAAUGCGUAGAGAUCGGGAAGAACACCAGUGGCGAAGGCGGUCUGCUGGGCCGUUGCUGACGCUGAGGCGCGACAGCGUGGGGAGCAAACAGG